rnacentral:rRNA from 1 species
GGGGAUCGAAAGACCUUAUGCUUUUGGAGCGGCCGAUGUCUGAUUAGCUAGUUGGUAAGGUAAUGGCUUACCAAGGCAACGAUCAGUAGUUGGUCUGAGAGGACGACCAGCCACACUGGGACUGAGACACGGCCCAGACUCCUACGGGAGGCAGCAGUGGGGAAUUUUGGACAAUGGGCGCAAGCCUGAUCCAGCAAUGCCGCGUGAGUGAAGAAGGCCUUCGGGUUGUAAAGCUCUUUCAGUNGAGAAGAAAAGAUUGUGACUAAUAAUU